CUUUGUGUUGUUGUUUUGCUUUUCUUUUCCAGUUUGGAAAGGAAAAGCCCUUGAAAUGAACGGGAUCGCAUUACCCGCUCAAUUCCACAUCUCACUCUUUCUCACCAAGCACCCCCAAUUCUGGGUCUCUCCAGUUUGCUCCUAGUUCAAGACCAUGGUCAAGUCAUCUGCAGCCUGGAGCACCCACGACUGUCUGCCAGCAGACCCUGCCACCCCUCUUCCCCAGGCAUCUGCCUGGCCAGAGUGCUGGGUGUGGCUGCGGGGCAAGCAGACGUAGGGAACAGGUGAACCCCCCAGCUGUCUGCGAGACUGGAGCAAAAUAUGUCCUGAGGAGCUUCAAGUGAUGACAGACCCGAGACUCAGAGCUAAUUAACAGGAAGUGGAGCAGAGGCGGCGACAGCUCCAAGCAAGGGUGCGAAGCUCGCGUCACUUGAGAGAUCAUUUCAACGGGGAUUCAGAAGGAGAAAGAAAAAUCUACUGUGCCUGGGGGCCUUUGAAACAUCUUGAAGAUGCAAUGAGAGGAAGGGGUCUUUUCUUCCCGAGUCGUAAUGGUGCUGCUGUUUGUGAGGGAGGCGCUAUGGCUUUAACACCAGAUGAGCUGUGACAGGAAUUCUAGUACGUGGCUUUAUCACCUUGCCAGAAAAACCUGUCACUGUUAUAAACUUGGCAGCCAUACGUAAUUUGUGGAAACCCAUCUGCGGGUCCCUGAGAGAAGACCCCAGAUCAGCACCACGGAGCAACUGAAGUCAGAGACUGCAACGAAAUGCAGAGGCAGCGGUGAGGGAACCGCACCCCGAAACUUGUCAAGGUGAAGGGACAGUCCCUCUCCAACAGGGCGUCCUGCGCCUGCACCCCAUACAGUGAAUCCAACGUGGGGAGAGUGCCCAGGACAUCUUCACUGUGACUCCGGAAAGGAGAAGAAAGAAAAACUCUGUGCACCCCAAAUUCAAAACCAUCCCUACUAUCUUUUGCCAGAAGAAAAUGAUGUGUGUUCAAGAAGAUGGGAGAAUCUGAGGCCUUAAGACUGCGAAAAGCUAUGACUGACCCAUUAGCGCUCAGGAAGUAGCUCAGACCUUCUGGGCUUGCUUUCUUGGGGGUUUUGGAGCUCUGGGUUCCUGUGAAGUGCCGUUUCAACCAUCAGCAGCACUUGCUAUCAUAGAAAUCUGAAAAUAACACAUUCACUCUGACACGCCAACUCACUACUUUUAAUUGUGACUCAUUAAAGAUGUAAAUAGAAGAGGAAUUAUGUUCACCUCUACUACAGUUCUUUUGGCUGUGGUGAAAUUACAAUGCUUCUGCUUCUGUGCAGCAGGGAAGACUUCUGCUUUGAAUAACAUCCCAAGUGCAGGGCUAGGAUUCUCUCAUUUUCCAACAAUAGGCAUUGCAUGCCACCGACUGUUGUUGGGCAGAAGCAGGUAGACAGAAGGAUCAAUUUUAAAAUGAACAGGAAGAAGAGUAAAUUUACAUCAUUCCAAAGAUGGUAUCUGCAAAAUUCCGAAGUCUUCCUGGCAGGUGUUACAGAAAUGAGAGGCUGCUGGAGGAAAUUCUGCAAAAAAAUUCAGACCAAACUACGCCCAGAGAGGAACAUGAAGGCUAUCAGAUGUAGUUUGAGCUUUUGUUUGACAAAUAUUAUUUUCUUUGUCUUGUUAUUUUAUUAACAAGGAAAAAUAAAAACAAAACGAAAAAACAAAAACAACCGGUCUUCUCUUUAUCUAUAUUCUAACAGAGUACAGUUUCUUAAAUUAGAAUGAGAAUUACACCUUAUCAGUAAUUGUCAAUACAAUAAAGUAUUGAUGACCAAUGAUUACACAUUUGAAAUGCUGUAUCAAAAACUAAGAACCAAGCACAAAAUGACAAAUAUUCUAUGACUCUGAGCAGUAUGUAAAAUAGACAAACUCAGAGAGAAAGGGCUGAGAGGGAGGAAUAAGGGGUUAAUAUCCAAUGGGUACUGAGCUUCUCUUGGGGAUGAUGAGAAAAUUC